rnacentral:misc_RNA from 1 species
ACCCCAUGGCUCUAUCGACGCGGCAGCGCCGUCCUCUACUGUCCGAUGUCACCUCAUCGUCGUCGGAACCGUACACGAAGGUUAAUAAACCUCGGAGAUCGAAUGUCGGGGAUGAGGAGGAUAAGGGAUUAGGAUGGUUCCUGCCUUUGCUUUCUUUGGGAAUUUUAAGAUACAUGAGUGCCACUUCAAAUAUCAUACAUGACUGCGAUGAAGUCUUCAACUAUUGGGAGCCUCUCCAUUAUCUUCUCUACAAGUCUGGCUUCCAAACCUGGGAAUACAGGUAUUGUUAUGUAUUCGAUAGCAAUUAGCAAUUGGGUUCUCCUUUGUUUCUCUCUUUUUGCACUUGGGGUAGUUCAGAGCUGGUCUUGUGUUUGAUGAUUCUGUUGACGCUCUGCUUGGAGGAGUUUAAGGAAGUUUUUUAAAGGUAUAAGGUAACUGAAUGUAAGGUGUCUGAUUCCAGUACAUCAAUCUGCAAGUUUUAAAAUCUUUAAAAUUUUUAAACAAAUCACUCAUUAAUCCAUCAACUUUAAAACCCUUAUCUUCCCUCCAAAAACUUCCUCCCAAACAGACUUGAAGGACUUGUUGGGUUUUGGUUCUUCUACUGUUUGAUGCUGCUUAGACCUUGAAUUUGCUUGAUGCUUGAAAGAUUUGAUGCGUUGAAUUUUAUUUUUGUCUAUCUGCAGCUCUCAGUUUGCACUUCGGUCUUAUUUGUAUAUUAAUUUCCAUGAACUAGUGGGUCUACCUGCUUCCUGGUUGUAUGGAGAGGAAAAAGUGAGAGUAUUCUAUGCAGUAAGACUGUUCCUUGGUCUUAUUUCUGUUGUUGCGGAUGCAACUUUGGUAGUUGUCCUUUCAAGGAAGUAUGGCAAACGUCUUGCUUCCUAUGCGCUUGCGAUGCUAUGCUUAACCAGUGGUUGUUUCUUUGCUAGUACAAGUUUUCUGCCAAGUUCAUUCUCAAUGUAUGCCAUGAGUCUCUCUUCAGGGUUAUUUCUUCUUGGGAAGCCUGCUAUGGCUGUUGUUGUUGCAGCUGUUGGGGUAAUCCUUAGUUGGCCUUUCUCGCUCUUGGCUUUCUUGCCAAUCACAUUCUACUCUUUGGCUAGAAGAUUCAAGCAAACAUUUUUAGCCGGUGCAUUCACUUCUAUUGUUCUUCUGGUAAGUCUGUCAUUGUUUUGAUUGCUACAUAUCACUUUGUGGCUCAGUAAGUGGUAUGCUUUUGUUUAGCAAUUGGCAUUUGAAGAGUUAUAAUGGUCUCUUAUUAAGUCACUGGGACAAGUUAAAAUUAGUCCUUAAAAUUUGUGGUCGUAUCUAAUAGCAGCCCUUAAAGUUUAAAUGCAUAUUUUAAGCAUGUGCAAGUUUGGAUUAAAUUCUUACUGCUGUAAUCUACAGUUAAAAUUUUUCUGAGUUAAAGGUAAUUUUAUUUUGUUCUGUAAUUUUCAUUAGGAUAAUCUCACACUGGAGAAUACAUCAUUAUUUUUUUUCAUUUUUGUUGAGAAACUAUUUAAAAUUGUUUUUGAAAGGUUAAAAAAUAAAGUAAUUUCAGCCAUUCAAUAGGUUUCCGUAUUAUUUUCAUUAAGACCCAAUUGAAAUUUAUAACUUUUUGUUUCUAUAAGUAUGUGUUUUGCAUAUUUUGUGUCUAAUUGAACAGGAGCCCAAUUGUCGGGACUAAAUGGACUUUUCCCCAAUUCAUUUAUGUUCAUGUUUUUGUUACAAUUUAAAGAUCUGAAUUCCUUCAGGUACUCUCAGUCCUUGUUGACUAUCACUACUACGGAAGGUGGACAUCAUCCGUUUUGAAUCUUUUAGUAUAUAAUGUCUUGGGAGGUGGUGAGAGCCACUUGUAUGGGAUUGAAGGGCCAUUAUUUUAUCUGAGGAAUGGAUUCAACAAUUUUAACUUCUGUUUCAUUCUCGCUUUGCUCUUCAUUGGGUUUUUGCCAAUUGCUAGGAGAAAGUAUGGCCUGGACAUGCUAAUUGUUGUCUCACCUCUUUAUAUAUGGCUAGGAUUUAUGUCCUUGCAGCCCCACAAAGAAGAAAGGUUCCUUUAUCCAAUAUAUCCUCUUGUUUGUGUUGCAGCAUCUUCUGUCAUUGAGAGCUUUCCUGAUCUUUUCCGAGACAGAUACAAUCCUUGUGACAAUUCUCUGAUAGUAAUGGUAGGCUUCUUUUCCAUUACCUAUAUAUUCCACCAGCUAUUCUAUAAUCAUUAAACUUGUACUUUUGUAUGCAGAUAGCAAAAUUUCUUAGACCUGUGGUUUUAGGCCUCAUAUUAUGUGCAUCCCAUGCUCGUACAUUCUCGCUUAUUAAUGGUUAUGGUGCUCCUAUUGAGGUUUACAAAAUUUUGGAGCACCAUGAUGAUACUGGAACAGGUAUGAAUCAAGUUCUUGCAUGAGUUUCUUGCUUAUAUCUUCAAAUUGUAGACCAUUAGAUUUUCUUACGGAACUAGCUGUCGCAACAAUUGGUGCAGCUAGAUUCGUUUACUGAUUUAUUGUAGUUCAACAUUUAAAGUGUAGAAGAUUUCUUUUAUUUGUUUUUCUAGUCUCAGAUUGUGGAUAACUGUACAGUUGUAUUUGCAUAGCAUCAGUAACCAAUGAUCCCCUGCUGUAUUAAUAGUAGAUAGUGUCAUUUGAUGGCAUCCAUACUGUAUUGGAUAAUGGUUAUAAUCAUCAAGUGCUAUUCUUUCAUUUCCAGUUGCAUCCCCCUCCACACCCCCCUCUGUUCUCCCGUACACAACCUAAAAUUUUUGUAGGUCAGUUUAUUAUCAAUUGCUUAUUCAUUUUUUAUGUUCUUAAUUUAUGCAAGGUGGUAACUUACCUGGUUUAUGUUCUUUCAAAGAAACACAUCCUAAAUUGGUUCCUACAUGUUGCAGGUUCUGUGCUUUGUGUUGGAAGUGAAUGGCAUCGCUUUCCUUCAUCAUUUUUUGUUCCUGGUUAUAUCAGUGAAAUCCGGUGGAUUGAUGAUGGGUUUCGAGGUCUUCUUCCUUUCCCAUUUAAUUCUACUUUGGGUGGGACUGCAGCAGCUCCUCCAUAUUUUAACAAUAAGAACAAGGCAGCAGAUGAGCAAUAUGUAAUUAAACUGUCCGCUAGUUAUGGUAUUUUAGGAUUAUCUCAUAUUUUUCUGUCACGGAGUGAAUAAUACACCUUAAUUCAACAUACAGCUCCGUGAUCUUGAAACCUGUACUUUCUUGGUUGAGCUGCAGCUUGAUAGACCUUACCCUUCACAUGGAAGUGACUUGUCAACUUGGGAGGUAUACAUUUAUAUCCAUCGCCGCUCUCUCUGUAUUUUUAUUUCCUUUUGUGACUUUGCUAAGACAAUAUGUGCUUCAGCCUAUUGCAGCAUAUCCUUAUCUAGACAGAGAGCUCUCACCUCCCAUGUACAGAUCAUUUUUCAUCCCAUAUCUGUGGCAAGAGAAGAAUGUUUUUGGCUUGUACAAGCUGUUCAAAAGAAUACCAAAAUGACAUGCAUGCGGUUUGCUGAACAACUGCAUUUCUUGUAGUUCAAAAUUUUGAUGCCUAAAAGCUAUUAAUAGCUGAAAUUUGAUCUCAAAACCUGAAGGAGGAAAUCCCAACAGAAAUCGUAGUUGUUGAAUGCUUUUUUUUUUUUUUUUGGUCAAAUAUUGAAUGCUUGUUUAAUUAGCUUAGGAUGACCAACAUGUCUAUGAAAGAGUCGUAGAAGAAGGUUGAUGGAAAAUGAUGAUUGGUGUUUUGGCUUGUAAUGGGUCGCUAUAAAUAUGGUGUGAAAGGUUCUGGAUAUCUUUGGCCUCUUUCUCUGCCACUAUUGGUGUAUGGUAAUGGUUUUCUUUUCUGGUGUAG